CCUACGGGAGGCAGCAGUGAGGAAUAUUGGUCAAUGGGCGCGAGCCUGAACCAGCCAAGUAGCGUGAAGGAUGACUGCCCUACGGGUUGUAAACUUCUUUUAUAAAGGAAUAAAGUGAGGCACGUGUGCCUUUUUGUAUGUACUUUAUGAAUAAGGAUCGGCUAACUCCGUGCCAGCAGCCGCGGUAAUACGGAGGAUCCGAGCGUUAUCCGGAUUUAUUGGGUUUAAAGGGAGCGUAGAUGGGUUGUUAAGUCAGUUGUGAAAGUUUGCGGCUCAACCGUAAAAUUGCAAUUGAUACUGGCAGUCUUGAGUACAGUUGAGGUAGGCGGAAUUCGUGGUGUAGCGGUGAAAUGCUUAGAUAUCACGAAGAACUCCGAUUGCGAAGGCGACCUGCUAGAACAUAACUGACGCUGAUGCGCGAAAGCGUGGGGAGCAAACAGGAUUAGAUACCCUAGUAGUC
rnacentral:rRNA from 1 species